rnacentral:rRNA from 1 species
GAUGAACGCUAGCGGAAGGCAUAAUACAUGCAAGUCGAACGGAUGUAGCAAUACAUUAGUGGCGCACGGGUGCGUAACGCGUAUGCAACCUACCUUCAUCAGGGGGAUAGCUACUCGAAAGGGUGGCUAACACCGCAUAAUACUACUGAAUGGCAUCAUUUGGUAUUUAAAUCUGAGGAGGAUGAAGAUGGGCAUGCGUCUGAUUAGCUAGUUGGUGUGGUAACGGCGCACCAAGGCGACGAUCAGUAGGGGAACUGAGAGGUUGGUCCCCCACACUGGCACUGAGAUACGGGCCAGACUCCUACGGGAGGCAGCAGUAGGGAAUAUUGGUCAAUGGUGGGAACACUGAACCAGCCAUUCCGCGUGCAGGAAGAAGGGUCUCUGGCUUGUAAACUGCUUUAGCAAGGGAAGAAAAAGCUCAUGCGUGAGAAAUUGACGGUACCUUGAGAAUAAGCACCGGCUAACUACGUGCCAGCCGCCGCCGUAAAAC